rnacentral:tRNA from 1 species
UAGAAAGUGGUGUAUUGGAAGCACGAAGAGUUUUGAUCUCUUAGGGAUGGGUUCAAAUCCCUUUUUUCUAA